UACGUAGGGGGCGAGCGUUGUCCGGAAUUAUUGGGCGUAAAGAGCGUGUAGGCGGUUCGGUAAGUCUGCCGUGAAAACCUGGGGCUCAACCCCGGGCGUGCGGUGGAUACUGCCGGGCUAGAGGGUGGUAGAGGCGAGUGGAAUUCCCGGUGUAGCGGUGAAAUGCGCAGAUAUCAGGAGGAACACCUAUUGCGAAGGCAGCUCGCUGGGACGUAACUGACGCUGAGACGCGAAAGCGUGGGGAGCAAACAGG
rnacentral:rRNA from 1 species